AGUAGAGGCGUCUCUGACCCCUGGCACCAUAACAACAUCAUUCCAAUGAAGUUGUUAUGGUGCCUGGAGGUUUCCUUUGAAGUAAAAAAGAGAAGAAAUUGACAACAAACUGACAGCUAAGCUGUAGCAUUUUGGCUAUUCUGGCCUCGUAUUUGAAAUUCACUUUGAAUUCUCACUUUCAUAAAUAGCUAUGUUGGGCUU